UGCCCUACCACUCACCGGGGAGAUCAGUUUCCCUUGGAGGAGGCUUUGAGAUCCAGGACAAGUAUCCGGCCCAGGCUUACUGUAAUUUCCUGUUUGCUUCUACUUGAAGGAUGGUGAUUCUGACACUGGAGGGAGUGUCCCAGACACUCAGAACAAUAACAGACUCAGAACAAUAAUAAUGGAAACACCUGUGUCACAUUUGCACGUGCUAGAUAUUACUCUAAAUACUUACGCUUUUUUGUUGUUGGUUUUUUGAGACGGGGUUUACUAUGUAGCCCAGGCUGGCCUCGAACUCGAGACGAUUCUCCUGCCUCAGCCUCCCAAGACCUGGGAUGACAGCCGUGCGUCACCACGCCCGGCUUCAGUUUCCAUUCUCGUCCCUAAAUUUCUUCUCAAAACACGGAGAGAUGGGGUUAAACACCCACGGGGUCGUCCACUCAGCACUGCGAGUGCCUCCUGGGUUGGCACCCACCGGUGAGGUAUCUACACGCUCGGGAGCUCUCAAGGAGCUAGGGCCUGGCACAAGAUGGCACACCAGCCCAGAGCCGAUGCACGGAAAGACCCAGAAGCCGGGAGCAAAGCCGGAAGAGACGUCGGUCCCGGAGCAGCUGCCUUCAACCUGGAUGCGUUAGCUCCUUCCCGCUGGGCAGCGAUCGCCGUGGAGGGCAGGCGGGCUAGACCUUCCGUGUUUACGGAGCGAGGUGGCCGGCCGAGCGCAGGUGAGGAGGAGGGAGGUUGGGUAAGAGGGGUGGAUCUGCGCGCUCUCUCGGCUCGAAGCGCCCCCUAGGGGCCAGCGCCUUGGCUCUCCCACCUUCGGUGACAAAGGCAAGGUCGGCCCUGCGGAGAAGGCAGGCGCACUGGUGUGAACUGCGGCCGCCCGGGUCCCCCAGCCCGCCCCGGCGCGGGCCACGCACGCGUCUUCGCGGAGCUCAACGCUUUGCCCCCCACUUUGGCGGCCCGGGCCUGGAAGGGGUUCCCGGGAACUCUGGGAAGCUGAGGAAGACCAUCAAGAGCUCUCCUUGAAGGCCUGUGUAGCCUCUGGGAGAAAAGAUGGGGGAUUUUGAGACUGGGAUCGGGGCUGGCGACAAUGGCUGUAGUGAAAGAGCCCACAGUUCUGGUGGCAAUAGGGCCACAGGAGAGACGCCAGCAAGUCACUAAAAACAGGAAGUCCCUGGAGUCCUUGGCAGGGCAGGAGCUGAGGUGAAGGCCACUAGAGAUGGUCCCUGACCUGGCACGAGCCCUCUGCCAAAGAGAACAAGAAUACUGUGCAGGGCCGGGGAUUUAGCAUAGUGCCACCGAGCCUGCCUUGCAAGCAUAAGGUCCUGAGUUCGAUCCCUGGUACCACAAAAAAAAUAUUUUUUUUAAGUAAAAUAAAUAAAGAAUACUUGGUAACAUGACUGUAUGACAGAUGUUUCUGUGAUGAUGGAAGG
ensembl:lncRNA